rnacentral:misc_RNA from 1 species
UCUCCGUAGGUGAACCUGCGGAGGGAUCAUUACAGAGUUCAUACCCUACCGGGUAGAUCUCCCACCCUAUGUUAUUAUUACUUUGUUGCUUUGGCGGGCCGUUAGGCUCCGGCCCGACUACCGGCCCCGGCUGGUAAGCGCCCGCCAGAGGACCCAAAACCCUGAAUAUUAGUGUCGUCUGAGUACUAUAUAAUAGUUAAAACUUUCAACAACGGAUCUCUUGGUUCUG